rnacentral:rRNA from 1 species
UCGGUGGAGGAUGGACUCGCGGCCUAUCAGCUUGUUGGUGAGGUAAUGGCUCACCAAGGCGACGACGGGUAGCCGGCCUGAGAGGGCGACCGGCCACACUGGGACUGAGACACGGCCCAG